CAGUCGCCGCGGUAAUACGUAGGGUGCAAGCGUUAAUCGGAAUUACUGGGCGUAAAGCGUGCGCAGGCGGUUUUGUAAGACAGAGGUGAAAUCCCCGGGCUCAACCUGGGAACUGCCUUUGUGACUGCAAGGCUGGAGUGCGGCAGAGGGGGAUGGAAUUCCGCGUGUAGCAGUGAAAUGCGUAGAUAUGCGGAGGAACACCGAUGGCGAGGGCAAUCCCCUGGGCCUGCACUGACGCUCAUGCACGAAAGCGUGGGGAGCAAACAGGAUUAGAUACCCCGGUAGUCCCUGUCUCUUAUAC
rnacentral:rRNA from 1 species